GUGGCAUUAGUUCAGUUGGUUAGAGCACCAGAUUGUGGAUCUGGGGGUCAGGGGUUCGAAUCCCCUAUGCCACC
rnacentral:tRNA from 1 species